GUGGGGAAUUUUGGACAAUGGGGGCAACCCUGAUCCAGCCAUGCCGCGUGAGUGAAGAAGGCCUUCGGGUUGUAAAGCUCUUUCGGCCGGGAAGAAAUCGUAUGGGUUAAUACCCUGUGCGGAUGACGGUACCGGCAUAAGAAGCACCGGCUAACUACGUGCCAGCAGCCGCGGUAAUACGUAGGGUGCGAGCGUUAAUCGGAAUUACUGGGCGUAAAGCGUGCGCAGGCGGUUUUGUAAGACAGGCGUGAAAUCCCCGGGCUCAACCUGGGAACUGCGCUUGUGACUGCAAGGCUAGAGUAUGGCAGAGGGGGGUGGAAUUCCACGUGUAGCAGUGAAAUGCGUAGAGAUGUGGAGGAACACCAAUGGCGAAGGCAGCCCCCUGGGCCAAUACUGACGCUCAUGCACGAAAGCGUGGGUAGCAAACAGGAUUAGAAACCCCUGUAGUCC
rnacentral:rRNA from 1 species